GGUCUUGUAGUCAAUUAUGACACUAAAUUGCAAAUUUAGAGGUGGUGGUAUCCUAAGGCCU
rnacentral:tRNA from 1 species